GGCUGGACUGCUGAUCUUAGAGCUCUUCCCCGACCUACAGGAUAACAUGAUUCUCUUGGAAGCAGCAGACGUUCCCCACUGAACCAUCAUUCUUCCUUCCCACGUGGCUGAAAUAUUGCUUGGCAGAGGGAGCGAGAGCUGGGCGCUCGGGGCUCUGAGUGUACACUGCUCCACUUGAAUACUCAAUUCACAUCUUUAGUCCCACAGUGAUGAGGUUAAUCAUCAACUGAACAGGCCCAGAGGUGUUGUGCUCCUCACAGAGGAGGGAUGUUUCUGUCGGGGGCUGCAGGAGGUUGGGGUGGAACGGUGGCUCCCGAGCUCUCCUGGGAGUGGGAUUUCACCCCUGGCCCUGGGGAUGCUGCCAGAGGGACCCAGGGCUGAUGGGAGCAGCUCACCUUGAACCCAGCUGUAUUUGGGGGUUGCACACAGACCCUGCAGGGUCCCAGCCUGUGGGGCUUCCCAAGCAAUGAGUCACUGCCUCUGGAAGCUGUCGCUGCUGGGAGCAGUGGUGGGCGGGAGGAGCCCUCCUCGGUGUGUUUUUCUUGUCUUGAUUAAGAAUUAGCAGUGAUCCACACGCUCUGCUCUUUGUUUAAGUCUCUCUGUCAGAUGUGUGUGUGCUCCAUUGUCAUUUAUCCCUGCUGCUUGUCGGAAGGCGGGUUUCCUUCCCCAUGGGAUCACAGCUGAUGGAUCUGAGCACAACGCGGGGCAGAUACUGCGGUGCUCAUGGGUGGGUGAGAGGUGCCCCCACCUCUGUGCCCAAGGGUCGGUGUGCCAACUCCUAGCUCUGGGAACCUCAGGGAACGGGGGCUGUGAUCACAGCCUUGGGGCGAGAUUGGGUGCAGGGCACUGCAAAAGCCAAACCCAGAGUGGAGAUCUUGAAUCACUACAUUGGUAGAGUAGAAUGAUGGAACCAUAGAAUGGUUUGGGUUGGGGGGACCUUUGUAGAACCAUAGAAUGGUUUGGGUUGGGAGGGACCUUUGUAGAACCAUAGAAUGGUUUGGGUUGGGAGGGAGCUUCGUAGAACCAUAGAAUGGUUUGGGUUGGGAGUGAGCUUUAUAGAAUCAUAGAAUGGUUUGGGUUGGGAGGGAGCUUCAUAGAACCAUAGAAUGGUUUGGGUUGGGAGGGAGCUUCAUAGAACCAUAGAAUGGUUUGGGUUGGGAGGGAGCUUCGUAGAACCAUAGAAUGGUUUGGGUUGGGAGGGAGCUUCGUAGAACCAUAGAAUGGUUUGGGUUGGGAGGGACCUUCACAGAACCAUAGAAUGGUUUGGGUUGGGAGUGAGCUUUGUAGAACCAUAGAAUGGUUUGGGUUGGGAGGGACCUUCACAGAACCAUAGAAUGGUUUGGGUUGGGAGGGACUUUCAUAGAACCAUAGAAUGGUUUGGGUUGAGGGGUACCUUCAUAGAACCAUAGAACCAUAGAACCAUAGAUGAGGGCCAUCUGACCCCAGUCCCUGCAAUGAGCAGGGACACCCACAGUUCCAUCCGAUGCUCAGAGCCUGGACCACGGGUGGACGUCCCAGCAGACCUGUAGCAGGCUGAUGCUGAGAGCCUGUAUUGCCUGUUUCUAGAUUACAAGGGAUGAGGGUAAUGAUUUUCUGUGAUUCCUGUGCAUUACUUCUAGAUACCAGGUAGUUAACUUUCAAUGGUGAGAACAAUCACAGUUCAUUAGGAGCACAAGUGUCAUGGAUGGAGGCCGCUGUGUGAGGUUCUGCAGCAGGGCACAGUGAUGCCUGGUGCUCCUGGGCACAUGCACACACCUGGACAAGGAGCUCCUCUGCUGACUGCAGUGCUCAUCGGGGGCUGUGAGCAGGAAGUUGGGGUCCCGUGGUGGCUGUGUGCAGGAGGUGGUCGGGGGCAUUUGGCUUCUGACCGUUGUUCUUCAAAUCUUCUGCAGUAUUGCAUCCAGGCCUGGGGAACCCAGGCACAGCAAGGACGUGGAGCUCUUGGAGAGGGUCCAGAGGCACUGAGAUGAGCAGAGGGCUGGAGCAGCUCUGCUAUGAGGAAAGGUUGGGAGAAGUGGGAUUGUUCAGGUUGGAGGAGAGAAGGCUAUGGGGAGACCUCAUGGUGGCCUGCUAGUACUUGAAGGGAGCAGAUAAACAGGAGGGGAAUGGCUGUUUGUGAGGGUGGAUGGUGAUGGGACAAGGGGAAUGGCUUUAAAGUGAGACAGGGGAGGUUUGGGUUGGAUAUGAGGAGGAAGUUUUUCAUGCAGAGGGCGGUGAGGCACUGGCACAGGUUGCCCAAGGAGGCUGUGGAUGCCCCAUCCCUGCAGGCAUUGGAGGCCCGGCUGGAUGUGGCUGUGGGCAGCCUGGGCUGCUGGUUGGCGACCUGCACACAGCAGGAGGUUGGAGCUGAUGGUCACCGUGGGCCUUUGCAACCCAGGCCAUUCUAGGAUUCUAUGAAAUCCUCUCUAUUGGCCAUCUGUGUGAGCAUCUGCAUGGCGCUGGGUGCUGAACGAACAUCUGCCCACCAGCAGCACUCAUUGGAGGCUUUGUCUGCCAGAUCCACCAUGCCUUCCCCCAGGGCCCACCCAGCUGCUGCCCCGAGGAGCAAUCCCUGCUGCCCUGCGCUGCACAGCGCUUCGCCCACCGACAGCCACCGUGGCCUCUGACUUGGAACUGAAACGGUUCAUUUGGUUCGGUUCAGUUCACUCCCAAAGCUGUAAUUAUCAUAAAAGAAAUUAUAUUCGCUUUAAUUCCGCCGGAGAGCGUCUCCUUAUAAAUAUGAUUUGCUGUGACUAAUACAUUUCAGUUCAGAUCUCUGAUAUAAAUGAACAAAUCUUUUUGCACGUGCACUGUAAUGGAUUUGUUCUGUCAGUGACGGACGGGAGGGGCUGCACCGGGGGCUGUAGCUUUGCUGAUCUGUAGGAUUUGGUUGGGGUCUCUGGGCGUCUCCACCAUUGCUGCUGUUCACAAACUGCUGGAUGUACAAACGGUCUCUUUAAAACCCCACUGUUUGCUUUUCUUCUGUCCUCCGGGGUAAAAGAGUUUCCUUACUGCCCCUUCCUCACUGAGAUUUCUGUAGCUUACAGACCAGGGAGUCCUGGAGCACUUCUACAAAUGCACACAAAAAAGAGAGUGCCUUUGUUCCCUCUGGGUUUGAGGUGUUUGUGGUAGUUGUUAUGUUAUCCAGGUUGUUAUGUGUGCCUACAGCAUGGCCUUGACCUACAGCAUGGCCCUGCCCUACAACAUGGCCUUGCCCUACAGAAUGGUCGUGCCCUACAACAUGGCUGUGCCCUACAGCAUGGCCUUGUCCUCCAACAUGGCCAUGCCCUACAACAUGGCCGUGCCCUACAACAUGGCCUUACCCUACAACAUGGCUGUGCCCUACAACAUGGCCGUGCCCUACAACAUGGCCUUGCCCUACAGCAUGGCCGUGCCCUACAACAUGGCCCUGCCCUACAACAUGGCCUUGCCCUACAACAUGGCCAUGCCCUACAACAUGGCCUUACCCUACAGCAUGGCUGUGCCCUACAACGUGGCCAUGCCCUACAACAUGGCCUUACCCUACCACAUGGCCUUGCCCUACAACAUGGCCUUGCCCUACAGCAUGGCCAUGCCCUACAGCAUGGCCUUGUCCUCCAACAUGGCCGUGCCCUACAACAUGGCCUUACCCUACAACAUGGCUGUGCCCUACAACAUGGCCUUGCCCUACAACAUGGCCAUGCCCUACAACAUGGCCUUACCCUACACCAUGGCCGUGCCCUACAACAUGGCUGUGCCCUACAACAUGGCCUUACCCUACAACAUGGCCAUGCCCUACAACAUGGCCUUGCCCUACAACGUGGCCUUACCCUACAACAGGGCCUUGCCCUACAGCAUGGCCUUGCCCUACAACAUGGCCGUGCCCUACAACAUUGCCUUGCCCUACACCGUGGCCUUGCCGUAUAAUAUGGUCUUGCCCUACAACAUGGCCUUGCCCCACAGUGUAGCCUUGCCCCUUGGCUUGUCUGCAGCCAAGCCUGGCAGCAUGAUAAAAAUGUUUCUUCUGCCAAACGUCGUGGCAAACAAAUCUGAGGCUGAAAUGCCUUUUGUGGAUGACCUCUAAAGACAACCUGUUGGAUCCAGGGUUGCCAUUUCAACAACAUGCAGCCUCUUCCCUUGGAAACCUCUAAACGAAGACGACAUUCCAGUCAGAUGUCCUGAGGUAUGCAUAGAGCUGGCAGCUCUCCUUAUUUACCUUCCAGAAUUAGAAACCCCUUCAUUAAUUCAAGUCGGCGCCUUGUGCGUCUCAGCAUGACCUUAGAGGCGUCCCAGAUUUUGGCUGUGAGGGGAACGCGGACCUAUUAUUAGAGGGAAAGCUUGUGUUGAGCUUGCCAGGCUGCAGCGGCCGUAGGAUCAAUGCGUGCUGGGGCAGCUCAGCUCACUGCUCACCAGGAGCUCAGGAGCUGCGCUCACAGCGAUGCAGGUCUGCAGCUGGGAGCUGAGCAGAGCAUCUCCUGAUAAGGAAAGGCUGAGAUCUCUGGGGCCGAGAGGGGAUCUGAGCGAUGGCUUUGGUCUGGCAUUGCCAGAGCUGUGCUUGAGAUGCACGUGUGUCCUCACAGCUCACACAAAGCACUGGCUGUGGUGGCUGGAAGCAUCCCACUGCUCACCUCCUAUCUGGAAUGCAUCAACAGUUAGGUGUCAGCGCCUUCCUGUCUGCUCCUGUAUUUGUCAUACAAUCAUGGAACCGUGGGAUGCUUCAGGUCGGAGGGCCGUCCAGUUCCACCCCUGCCGUGGGCUGUGUGCUCCCCAGCUCAGGCUGCCCAGGGCCCCAUCUGUGGCCACAUUACAUCCACUAGGCAAGUUUGCUGAUGAUACGAAGUUGGGAGGAUUGGCUGACACGCCUGAAGGCUGUGCUGCCAUUCAGUGAGACCUGGACAGGCUGGAGAGCUGGGCAGAAAAAAAACCAGAUGAGGUUUAACAGAAGCAAGGGUAGAGUCUUGCAUCUGGGGAGGAAUAAUUGCAUGCACUGGUACAGGUUGGGGGAUGAGCUGCUGGACAGGAGCUCUGCACAGAGGGACCUGGGUGUCCUGGUGGACGACAGGUUGCCAUGAGCCAGCAGUGUGCCCUUGUGGCCAAGAGGGCCAAUGGCAUCCUGGGGUGCAUUGCACAGAGCGUGGCCAGCAGGUCGAGGGAGGUGAUCCUCCCCCUCUGCUCUGCCCUGCUGAGGCCUCAUCUGCAGCACUGCGUCCAGUUCUGGGCUCCCCAGCACAAAACAGACAGGGAGCUCUUGGGAAGAGUCCAGCGGAGGGCCACCAAGAUGGUGAGGGGCCUGGAGCAUCUCUGCUAUGGGGAAAGGCUGAGUGAGCUGGGUCUGUUCAGCCUGGAGGAAAGAAGGCUGAGAGGGGACCUGAUCCAGGUCUAUCAGUAUCUGAGGUGUGGGGGGCAGAAUGGCAAGGACGGACUGUUUUCAGUGGUGAAUGGAGACAGGACAAGGGGAAACUGCUGGAAACUGCAGCAUAGGAAGUUCUGCACCAAUGUGCGAAGGAAUGGCUGUGCAGUGAGGUGAGGAGCAAUGGGACAGGCUGCCCAGGGAGGUGGUGGAGUCUAUGGGUCCCAAUGGGUCUCAAUGUGUCUCUAUGGGUCCCACUGUUCACUGGAACAGGCUGCCCAGGGAGGUGGUGGAGUCUCCUGCUCUGGAGAUGUUCCAGACCUGCCUGGAUGCCGACCUGUGCAACCUGCUGUAGGAACUGCUUUGGCAGGGGGUUGGACUCCAUGAUCUCUGGAGCUCCCUUCCAACCCCUACCGUUCUGUGAUGCUGUGAUUCUGUGAGCACUGUGUUUGAUCAGCACAGCCCAGAUGGAGGCUGUGAACCAGAUCUGUGCUUCUGACCGUCCCCUGUGUGCCCUCGGUCCUGGCUGCACAGCUGCAGGUGGGUUGAGUGUCCUGGGGUUUGGCUCCUUGUGGCCAAUGUGCGUCGUUGUGGUUAUGGGCUGGAUGGGCUCCUCCAGGGCAGAGCUGUGAUUGCCAGUCCCCUGCACAGCAGAGGGUGUUCAAUAAGGGCAAAGGGGAGGAUUGUGCUAAUUGCAGACCUGUCAGUGUCACUGCAGAAUUAUGCAGAAGAGAACUGUGGGAGGUGCUGCAUGGAGCUCAAGGAGAGCUGGGCUCUGCACUUGGGAUGGGGCAGCCUGGGCUGAAGCUGCACACUGGGGGAUGGGAGGCUGCAGAGCUGCCCCAGGAAUGGGGUCUGGGGGCUCUGGUGAUGACGGCGAGUUGGUUCUGAGGCAGCGGUGUGCCGUGGAGCCAAAAGGGCCAGCAGUGCCAUGGGGUGAAGCCGGCUGUGGGGUCAGGGGAGGGGUUCUGUCCCACGGUGUUCUGUGCUGUGCAGCUUCACCUCGAGCACCGGGUGUGGGUUGGAUGCCAUGAGUGAAGGCAUAAAGCUGGUUGGGAGCAUCCAAAGGAGGGCUGCAGAGAUGGGGAAGCGUCAGAGGGCAGGGGGUGUGAGGGGUGGUUGAGGGGCCCUGGGUUUGUUCAGCCCAGGGCAGAAGAGGCUGAGGGGGAGGACUCUACAGCCCUUCAUGCUCCUACAGCCCUCAUGGCCCUACAGCCCUCAUGGCCCUACAGCUCCUUAUGGCCCUAUGGCCUCUCGUGGCCCUACAGCUCCUUAUGGCCCUACAGCCCUCAUGGCCCUACAGCCCUCAUGGCCCUACAGCUCCUUGUGGCCCUACAGCCCUCAUGGCCCUACAGCUCCUCGUAUCCCUACAGCUCCUCAUGGCCCUACAGCUCCUCAUGGCCCUACAGCUCCU